GACGAACGCUGGCGGCGUGCUUAACACAUGCAAGUCGAACGGAAAGGCCCCUUUGGGGGUACUCGAGUGGCGAACGGGUGAGUAACACGUGAGUAACCUGCCCUUUACUUCGGGAUAACUUCAGUAAACUGGGGCUAAUACCGGAUAGGAAUCCUUGCUGCAUGGUGGGGGUGGGGAAGCUUCGGCGGUUUUGGAUGGACUCGCGGCUUAUCAGCUUGUUGGUGGGGUAGUGGCUUACCAAGGCUUUGACGGGUAGCCGGACUGAGAGGGCGACCGGCCACAUUGGGUCUGAGAUACGGCACAGAUUCCUACGGGAGGAAGCAGUGGGGAAUAUUGAACAAUGGGCGGCAGCCGGAUGCAGCAACGCCGCGGGCGGGAUGACGGCUUUCGGGUUGUAAAACGCUUUCAGCAGGGGAGCAGCUUGUGGUGACGGUACCUGAAGAAGAAGCACCGGCUAACUACGUG
rnacentral:rRNA from 1 species